ACGGGAGGCAGCAGUGAGGAAUAUUGGUCAAUGGACGGAAGUCUGAACCAGCCAAGUCGCGUGAAGGAUGAAGGUAUUAUGUAUUGUAAACUUCUUUAGCAGUGGAGUAAUAAGGGGAUCGCGAUCCCUGAUGCAAGUACACUGAGAAUAAGGAUCGGCUAACUCCGUGCCAGCAGCCGCGGUAAUACGGAAGGUCCGGGCGUUAUCCGGAUUUAUUGGGUUUAAAGGGAGCGUAGGCCGUGCUUUAAGCGUGUUGUGAAAUGUAGGCGCCCAACGUCUGCACUGCAGCGCGGACUGGAGCACUUGAGUACGCAGGAAGUAGGCGGAAUUCGUCGUGUAGCGGUGAAAUGCUUAGAUAUGACGAAGAACUCCGAUUGGGAAGCCAGCUUACUGUAGCGCCACUGACGCUGAUGCUCGAAAGCGUGGGUAUCGAACAGGAUUAGAUACCCUGGUA
rnacentral:rRNA from 1 species